rnacentral:rRNA from 1 species
AUGGACAACAGGUUUAUAUUCCUGUACUAUCUAUAUGACUGAUGGAGUGACGAAGAAGGAUAAGAAGAGCCAGUUAUUGGAUUCUGGUCUAAGCACAAAGGCCGAUAAGUAGGGAAAUCCGUUUAUCGAUAAGGUUGAAGUGUAAUGGUGAAACUGUUUACAGUGAAAUUUUCUGACUCCAAGCUUCCAAGAAAAACUUCUAGGGUUAAUCAUAUAGAUACCCGUACCGAGAACCGACACAGGUGGGCAAGGAGAGUAUCCUAAGGUGAGCGAGAGAACUAUGGUUAAGGAACUCGGCAAAAUAACCCCGUAACUUAGGGAUAAGGGGUGGUCAUUAACGUGACCGGCACUAAAGACGCCCAGGCAACUGUUUACCAAAAACACAGGUCUCUGCUAAGUUGUAAGACGAUGUAUAGGGGCUGACACCUGCCCAGUGCUGGAAGGUUAAGAGGAGUGCUUAGAUUGACAUUUAGUCGAUGAUUGCGAAGGUACGAAUUGAAGCCCCAGUGAACGGCGGCCGUAACUAUAACGGUCCUAAGGUAGCGAAAUUCCUUGUCAGGUAAGUUCUGACCCGCACGAAAGGUGUAAUGAUCUGGGCACUGUCUCAACCAUAGACUCGGUGAAAUCUUAAUACCUGUGAAAAUGCAGGUUACCCGCAACAGGACGGGAAGACCCCAUGGAGCUUUACUGUAGCUUGAUAUUGGAGUUCGGUGUAUUUUGUAGAGGAUAGGUGGGAGACGUUGAAACUAGGACGCCAGUUCUAGUAGAGUCAUCCUUGGAAUACCACCCUUAAUACACUGGAUUUCUAACCUAGGACCGUGAUCCGGUUCAGGGACAGUGUCUGGUGGGCAGUUUGACUGGGGCGGUCGCCUCCUAAAAAGUAACGGAGGCGCUCAAAGGUUCCCUCAGAAUGUUUGGAAAUCAUUCUAAGAGCGUAAAGGUAUAAGGGAGCUUGACUGCGAGACCUACAAGUCAAGCAGAUACGAAAGUAGGACUUAGUGAUCAGACGAUGCAGUAUGGAAUGGUCGUCGCUUAACGGAUAAAAGUUACCCUGGGGAUAACAGGCUGAUACCACCCAAUAGUUCACAUAGACGGUGGUGUUUGGCACCUCGAUGUCGGCUCGUCACAUCCUGGAGGUGAAGUCGCUUCCAAGGGUUGGGCUGUUCGCCCAUUAAAGUGGCACGCGAGCUGGGUUCAGAACGUCGUGAGACAGUUCGGUCCCUAUCCGUUGUGGGCGUAGGAAAAUUGAAGAGAGCUAUCCUUAGUACGAGAGGACCGGGAUGGACCAACCUCUGGUGUAUCUGUUGUAACGCCAGUUGCAGUGCAGAGUAGCUAUGUUGGGAAUGGAUAACCGCUGAAAGCAUCUAAGCGGGAAGCCAACUUUAAGAUGAGUUUUCCCAUAUUUUAUAUAGUAAGAUCCCAGAAAGACUAUCUGGUUGAUAGGCUGGAGGUGGAAGCAUGGUGACAUGUUGAGCUGACCAGUACUAAUAGAUCGAGGAUUUAACCC